AACGAACGCUGGCGGCGUGCUUAACACAUGCAAGUCGAACGAUGAAACCUAGCUUGCUAGGUCGAUUAGUGGCGAACGGGUGAGUAACACGUGACUAACCUGCCCCUUUCUCUGGGAUAACGCUCCGAAAGGAGUGCUAAUACCGGAUACUCACACCGAGGCACAUGCCUUGGUGUGGAAAGUUUUUCGGAAAGGGAUGGAGUCGCGGCCUAUCAGCUUGUUGGUGAGGUAACGGCUCACCAAGGCGACGACGGGUAGCCGGCCUGAGAGGGCGACCGGCCACACUGGGACUGAGACACGGCCCAGACUCCUACGGGAGGCAGCAGUGGGGAAUAUUGCACAAUGGGCGCAAGCCUGAUGCAGCGACGCCGCGUGAGGGAUGAAGGUCUUCGGAUUGUAAACCUCUUUCAGUAGGGACGAAGCGAAAGUGACGGUACCUAAAGAAGAAGCACCGACUAACUACGUGCCAGCCGCCGCAGUAA
rnacentral:rRNA from 1 species